rnacentral:rRNA from 1 species
UUCGCAAUGCCCGAAAGGCUGACGCAGCGACGCCGCGUGGAGGAUGACGCCCUUCGGGGUGUAAACUCCUGUUGCCCGGGACGAACGACCCGUUUCGACGGGUGUGACGGUACCGGGUGAGGAAGCACCGGCUAACUCUGUGCCGGCAGCCACGGUAAUACAGAGGGUGCGAGCGUUGUCCGGAAUCACUGGGCGUAAAGGGCGCGUAGGCGGUCGGGUAAGCGGGUGGUGAAAGCCCGGGGCUCAACCCCGGGUCGGCCAUGCGAACUGUCCGACUGGAGCACGGUAGAGGCACAUGGAAUUCCGGGUGUAGCGGUGGAAUGCGUAGAGAUCCGGAAGAACACCGGUGGCGAAGGCGGUGUGCUGGGCCGUAGCUGACGCUGAGGCGCGACAGCGUGGGGAGCAAACAGGAUUAGAUACCCUGGUAGUCCACGCCGUAAACGAUGGGCACUAAGUAGAGGGGUUUU